AUUCAGCAGCAUUUAUAACGACUUUAUGAGCAAAUGAACGUCGAUAAGUUUCACAAGGAAUGUGUUAAUCUGUUGGCGGUCAGUUUUCAGGAAUUGAAACCAAAUGAGAUUCAUAACAGUCCUGCAUCUUAAAUUCAACAAACAGAGUUUAAAAGCCUCUGUUUGUGUACUGUGGGCCAUCACUGUGCCCAGGCUGACACGCACCUCUCCAGAGACGGGUUGUUCUCCAGGUGGCCACGGAUAGCCUUCCUCAUCAUGGUGUUUUUGCCCAUGAGCACGACGGCCUUGCCCCGUAGGGACAGACGGAUGGUCUGCAUCUGCUUGGAGCCGACAUUGUCUGCGCCCACGAUGAAACACUUGGGGAAGUCAUC